rnacentral:misc_RNA from 1 species
GAUGAAGAACGUAGCGAAAUGCGAUACGUAAUGUGAAUUGCAGAUUUUAGUGAAUCAUCGAAUCUUUGAACGCACAUUGCGCCCGCCAGUAUUCUGGCGGGCAUGCCUGUCUGAGCGUCAUUUCAACCCUCAAGCAACUUCUGCUUGGUGUUGGGGAUCGGCCGUCAAACGCCGCCCCCGAAAUCUAUUGGCGAUCUCGCUGUAGCUUCCUAUGCGUAGUAGUAACAUCUCGCAUCUGGAGAGCGGCGCGGUCAUGCCGUAAAACACCCAACUUCUCAGGUUGACCUCAGAUCAGGUAGGAAUACCCGCUGAACUUAAGCAUAUCAAUAAGCGGAGGA